rnacentral:rRNA from 1 species
GAUUCCGGAGAGGGAGCCUGAGAAACGGCUACCACAUCCAAGGAAGGCAGCAGGCGCGCAAAUUACCCAAUCCCGACACGGGGAGGUAGUGACAAUAAAUACUGAUACAGGGCUCUUUUGGGUCUUGUAAUUGGAAUGAGUACAAUUUAAAUCCCUUAACGAGGAACAAUUGGAGGGCAAGUCUGGUGCCAGCAGCCGCGGUAAUUCCAGCUCCAAUAGCGUAUAUUAAAG